GUGGCAUAAAGUCCAAAAUUUCAUGGAAGAAAAUCUGAAUUUUUUUUUUAUAUAUUUAAACUAGAUACCCUAGAUAGAAAGUAUCAAUAAAUAUUUUGUCAAAAAUGCAAUCUUGCAAUUUUUACAGAUGUUUAAAGUCAGGUGAUUGAGCAGCUGAUUUUUGUGACAAAAUUGGCGGGAAAUUUUUAAUAACUUUGAGCGCUUGGCAAAUCUAAACUAAACAAUAUUUUUCUAUUAUUUAAAAUGGAUAUUAAAGUUGGAGGUAUGUUAAUUACGAAUAAUAAACACAGUUUGUGUGGUAAUUUGUUUAACGUUAUAUAUUUGUACUGUUUUGUGUUGUCCAAGGAAAUCAAAAAGCUGACAAAAGUGUUCGUCUUCUGUAGAGGAAAAAAAGGUGUUCUGCGUAUUUGUGCGUUGUUUAAUAUGUGCUUGAAUUCUGUCACGCCACGUUGCUGGACGUGUGGAUGGACAGCGGGCGCCACUCUUCCGCGCUGGUUGAACUUGUAUUUGGUCAAAUAGAUGAAUGUACACUGAGUGACGACAAAAAAGAGAGCAAUAAAUAAAAAAAAAAAAAAAAAAAAAAAAAAA